GUGAACCAAUCACUUUACAUGCAUCUGCAAUCCACCACAUUUUGAACCAAUCACCUUACAUGCAUUUUUCUCUCAUGGAAUAAAUCUGCCAAAACUCAAGAUUAGAUCAUUCACAGCAAAUACUAUUAUCAUCAGCUUCUCUUCCCUCUCCAAAAAUCCAUUCAAAUCACAAGUAUCCCUUCAAGAAAGUUCUGUUCCAAAAAUCAAAAAUCUGAUACUCCAUACAUCACAAAGACAAAGAACACAGUCUGUCCACUUGAGAGAAGGAAUUAGCUUUGCUUUUACAAGAAGAGAAUUGUACAUCUUUUAUCUACAGACUUGUCCUAUCAAGGUUGAGCGGCAGGUGGUGUUGUGCGAGGCUGAGGGAGGAUGUUGCUGUAGUUCCAUAUAAUAAUUUCCGCUGCCAUAAUAUUCACUUAGGUGGAUAUCUUUUGAGAUUGACUCUUUAAAUAUUCUAAGCCUAAUUAUUAUGAACCCUUUUGGCAAUCGCAUUCUAGCAAUUGAACCUCGCAUAUAUGUAUGUCUAGUAUGAAGUGUUAUCUUGUUGUCUCAGAACUCCGAACUUUUGAUCCUGGUUGGGAAAAUUUCUAUCCUAAUUGUUGUA